rnacentral:lncRNA from 1 species
AUAUACUUCACUGCUGGAAUUUUCAAGGUUCCACUAGCAUUAUUGAUCGGUGUUUGAGAUCACAGAAAAUUGCACAUAUUGAUUAGAUAAGGUUAAUCGUUCCUACCCUGUAAAAACUUAUUCAUAGAUGGCUAGGCUAGUCAAUACAAAUUGAUGCCAUGGUUUUGUUUUGUCACUCACAGGGCCAUAUUUUUGGCUAUUUUAUUUUGUCACAUUCUUUUAG